GGUCCGCUGGCUCAAUGGCAGAGCGUCUGACUACGACUCCUUAUUCUGGGAUAUCCCCAGGAAGAGAUCGAGUAAUCAGGAGGUUCCAGGUUCGACCCCUGGGUGGAUCG